GUCAAUUUUACGCACCAUUUUCCCUGAUGCAUCACUCAACCUGACGAUGUCCUGUUAUGGACAUCAAUACUUCAACUAUAGAACGAGACUGUACGAUCCUAGUAUUCAUCACAUGUAGCAAUAUCGAGUCGAUUUUACGCACUAUUUUCCCUGAUGCAUCACUCAACCUGACGAUGUCCUGUUAUGGACAUCAAUACUUCACCUAUAGAACGAGACUGUACGAUCCUAGUAUUCAUCACAUGUAAUAAUCCUACAACGAAAAGACAAGUCGUUAAUCACUGUCUAGAGUCGUAAUUUCUUUGCUUGGCGCUUCCUUUAGUUCUGAUUCACCAACAAAAUUAUUUUUGGAAUUCCUCUCCUUUAUUAAUUUCACGGAAUCUGCAAUUCCUAUUCAAGACGCACUGAUUUUCCUCGAAAAAUGCCAUCGUUUGGUUAUGAUUUGUUACGUCACGUUGCACGGAUUCGCACGUCAAACGCAGGUAACGCGGAAUUAUAAAUGUGGAAUCGAUGAACGAUCUACGAUUUGCUGCAGGAAGUGUUCACUGAACAAGCCAAUAUCCUUGGACACAAUCAUGCUGGUAUCUCAAACUUUUCUAUAUUCAGGAUCGUGAAGGAGGUCGUAUGAAGUAUGUCGUAAAAUAUCAGAAGAUCUUGUCUUCAUUCUAGCAGUCCUUAAGCUCGUCCCAGACACAGUUUCAAUCCAGAGCGAAAGAUGAGGUUUUUUGUAUCCCAAUCUCUGCUCAUUGUUGUCAUUGUAAAGAUGCUUUAGCUUUUCAAAGUCUUUAUCCUCCACUAUCCUGACAACUCCCCCGUCCAUUAUAAUUGGUUUCUGUGCAUAACCUUUACCACAUUCGAUAUUGCAUAAUGAGGAGAUGGCCACUGAUAUACACUGAACAAACGUUUUACGUCUCUUCGAAAAAACGGCAUAGCCCAACUGACCGCCAGCCGUCCGCCUUGGAUUCCCGCGAUGCAAGGAUCUUCGUUGGCUCUUCCUCCACAGCCUCUGCAUCUUUGAUUCCUAAUUCCUAAUAAGUGUUACGAUUAGCGCUGUAGUUUAGUCAAGGACGAUGGGGGUUAGCGCGUUGUGUCAUAUUUAUUUUUAAGUUUUUGCCCUUCUGUUUAACAUUAAGAGUGUGGCCAGCGCGAGUGAGAUUAACGUUUCUUGGAUAGUUGAUUGUUCUUGAAUUUAUUUAUUUUUAUUUUCUUAAUUUUAUUUGAAGUAACUGGACUAGAAUGUCUUGAUCAAAACUUAUAUAAUAUUAAAUACGAGCUUAGAAGUGUUGUUAACAUUGUUAACAUUCUGUUAGACUAUAGUCUUUAAGGCUCAAGAAAUAUUAUUUUAUUCAGAGCUAAAUCAAUUCUACACAUGACUUUCCCCAGUGCAUCACUCAACCUGACGAUGUCCUGUUAUGGACAUCAAUACUUCACCUAUAGAA